rnacentral:misc_RNA from 1 species
UCGAUGAAUCGCAGCCCGUCGAAUUGCGGGGCAAACUUUUCCUUCCUUGGAGACUGCUUUUGUUGUAUGUUAUUUCCGGUGCCGUCGUCCUGAAUGGAAAUCCAGAUGAAUUAGCAAGAAUUCCACCGGUGUGAUUGGAACAUGGAUUGUACCUGGCCGGAACAUUGGUUAUAUGGAUCAUCGGAACCGAAGUAGGAAAGUGCCGCGGUGGAUGAAGCAAUGGCCGCAACAGCAACGGCGACCGCGGCACCACCAGCUCCCUUCAUGGCUCUUUAUCUCUCUGAUUUAUGGCUGCUCUGCCGUUUGUAGUUGGAUGCUAUAUAAAUAGGG